rnacentral:rRNA from 1 species
UUGAUCCUGGCUCAGGACGAACGCUGGCGGCGUGCCUAACACAUGCAAGUCGAACGAGAAUCUUUGAACAGAUCUUUUCGGAGUGACGUUCAAAGAGGAAAGUGGCGGACGGGCGAGUAACGCGUGAGUAACCUGCCCAUAAGAGGGGGAUAAUCCAUGGAAACGUGGACUAAUACCGCAUAUUGUAGUUAAGUUGCAUGACUUGAUUAUGAAAGAUUUAUCGCUUAUGGAUGGACUCGCGUCAGAUUAGAUAGUUGGUGAGGUAACGGCUCACCAAGUCAACGAUCUGUAGCCGAACUGAGAGGUUGAUCGGCCGCAUUGGGACUGAGACACGGCCCAGACUCCUACGGGAGGCAGCAGUGGGGAAUAUUGCGCAAUGGGGGCAACCCUGACGCAGCAACGCCGCGUGCAGGAAGAAGGUCUUCGGAUUGUAAACUGUUGUCGCAAGGGAAGAAGACAGUGACGGUACCUUGUGAGAAAGUCACGGCUAACUACGUGCCAGCAGCCGCGGUAAUACGUAGGUGACAAGCGUUGUCCGGAUUUACUGGGUGUAAAGGGCGCGUAGGCGGACUGUCAAGUCAGUCGUGAAAUACCGGGGCUUAACCCCGGGGCUGCGAUUGGAACUGACAGCCUUGAGUAUCGGAGAGGAAAGCGGAAUUCCUAGUGUAGCGGUGAAAUGCGUAGAUAUUAGGAGGAACACCAGUGGCGAAGGCGGCUUUCUGGACGACAACUGACGCUGAGGCGCGAAAGUGUGGGGAGCAAACAGGAUUAGAUACCCUGGUAGUCCACACCGUAAACGAUGGAUACUAGGUGUAGGAGGUAUCGACCCCUUCUGUGCCGCAGUUAACACAAUAAGUAUCCCACCUGGGGAGUACGACC